rnacentral:lncRNA from 1 species
AAUUCAGUUUAGGGUUUAAAACCCUAAUGUCGAUUGCAUGGAAAAACUCAGUUUAGGGUUUAAAACCCUAAUGCUGGCUGGAAGAAAAAGUUCAGUUUAGGGUUUAAAACCCUAAUGCUAACUAAAAGGAAAAGUUCAGUUUAGGGUUUAAAACCCUAAUGCUGACUAAAAGAAAAAUUCAGUUUAGGGUUUAAAACCCUAAUGCUGAUUGCAUGAAAAAGCUCAGUUUAGAGUUUAAAACUCUAAUGCUGGCUGAAAGGAAAAAGUUCACUUUAGGGUUUAAAACCCUAAUGCUGAUUGCAUGGAAAAGCUCAGUUUAGAGUUUAAAACUCUAAUGCUGGCUGGAAGAAAAAAGUUCAGUUUAGGGUUUAAAACCUUAAUGCUGACUAAAAGGAAAAUUCAGUUUAGAGUUUAAAACCCUAAUGCUGAUUGCAUGGGAAAGCUCAGUUUAGAGUUUAAAACUCUAAUGCUGGCUGGAAGAAAAAAGUUCAGUUUAGGGUUUAAAACCCUAAUGCUGACUAAAAGGAAAAUUCAGUUUAGGGUUUAAAACCCUAAUGCUGAUUGCAUGGAAAAGCUCAGUUUAGAGUUUUAAAACUCUAAUGCUGGCUGAAAGGAAAAAGUUCAGUUUAGG